GGGAGGCAGGGGAGGAGAGACGAGGGAGAUAAAUUGGAGGAAAGUAUUGAAAUGGCCUCCAAGGUUUCUGUCCGUGAUAUUUUCCUUCUUCUCUGACUUUCUCUUCUGCCUUCCCUCUCUCUCUCUCACACUCUCUCUCAGCCUUUCUGUUUCUCGUAUGUCAGUGGACAUCUUAGCUACUUUAGCUCAUAUCCUAGCUAAGCCUGGUAAUUGACUCUGGGCUGUUUGGGCUGAUCUCCUAAAUCAGACACUGGAGCAGAGACCUUCAGCCCGCUGAGCUCACACCCCGGCUUUGAAGUAAUAACUGAUAGGCUGCUGAUAUUCGGUCAGCACGGUUAGCAUUCAUUUAUAGGAGCAUCAGAACAACAUCAACAUGUCUCAGGACUCAGGCUUGUCAACAGAGAUAAGGGAGUGCUACUAAACAUGCAGCUUCUUAGCUGGCUAACGUUAGUCACUGGUAAGCCUCCAUUCAGGAAUCAGCUGGUUUAGUUCAGAGUUGGAGGCUGUGAGAACACAACAGCUUCACUGAGAGGAUGGGACUACAUGCAGUCACUACCUCAUACCUAAGCUAACGGGCCGGGGAGAGCAGCAGAAGAUGGAACAUGGAUGAAGCACUUUUGAAGGAGUUGAACUGAGUAACAACUGAGGUAACAAGCGCAAUAAAAGCUGAAAUGAUAAAGGCCUUAAAAUUUGAUUUUAACUCAGUGCCAUUCUACAAGAAAGACCCUCCUGGUAGUAUUAAACAUGUCAACCUGAAUCAAGGAGUAUGGUGGCUUCCCAGGCAUUUAUCCUGAUGUGAUGCCAGCGCUGAGAGACCAGGGAAUCAACUUCCUUUGGAAGAGCUGUCUAGCAGUCCACAGAUAAAGAGAGAAAACAAAAACAAAGCUGAGGCUGAACCUGCUGCCAGCACCCAGCUUUACUCAACCUGCCAAUUAACUGAUUGUGGGCAAGCGAUCAGCAGCGGCUGGCAACACGACCACUUCCACCUCUUCCAUGUCAGAAUCUGCUUCAAUCUGUUGUCCUCUCUGAAAAUAAAUGAAACUAGACAAACACAGCUCCAUUUUACAGUCAUUCACCAUUUCUUUCUUUUAGGGCAUUCCCGA